AAGGGAGACCUAAUUCGGGUAUAAGACGAAAAAAGAGUAGUCGAAACCAAGAAUCAAUCCCAAAAGGUCGGAGCGAGGCGAAAUUGGCUUUCAAACUAGGUUCUGGGUUCACACAAGACCUGAAUCAGGAACAAGGGCUAUUAGCUCAGGUGGUUAGAGCGCACCCCUGAUAAGGGUGAGGUCCCUGGUUCGAGUCCAGGAUGGCCCACCUGUACAGGUGGCCAAAACCAAGAAAAGAAGCGAGGAAUCAGCACCUGCUCUUACCUACAUAGUAAGAGAGAAUGCUGGCUCUGAGUACAGAGUCCAGAGGAACCUUGAAAACUGCAUAGAGCUAGGUGAAAAAGCCAAAAAAGAAGACCGCAA
rnacentral:tRNA from 1 species